AAAUUGAAGAGUUUGAUCAUGGCUCAGAUUGAACGCUGGCGGCAGGCCUAACACAUGCAAGUCGAACGGUAACAGGAAGCAGCUUGCUGCUUUGCUGACGAGUGGCGGACGGGUGAGUAAUGUCUGGGAAACUGCCUGAUGGAGGGGGAUAACUACUGGAAACGGUGGCUAAUACCGCAUAACGUCGCAAGACCAAAGAGGGGGACCUUCGGGCCUCUUGCCAUCAGAUGUGCCCAGAUGGGAUUAGCUUGUUGGUGAGGUAACGGCUCACCAAGGCGACGAUCCCUAGCUGGUCUGAGAGGAUGACCAGCCACACUGGAACUGAGACACGGUCCAGACUCCUACGGAGGCAGCAGUGGGGAAUAUUGCACAAUGGGCGCAAGCCUGAUGCAGCCAUGCCGCGUGUAUGAAGAAGGCCUUCGGGUUGUAAAGUACUUUCAGCGGGGAGGAAGGUGUUGUGGUUAAUAACCACAGCAAUUGACGUUACCCGCAGAAGAAGCACCGGCUAACUCCGUGCCAGCAGCCGCGGUAAUACGGAGGGUGCAAGCGUUAAUCGGAAUUACUGGGCGUAAAGCGCACGCAGGCGGUCUGUCAAGUCGGAUGUGAAAUCCCCGGGCUCAACCUGGGAACUGCAUUCGAAACUGGCAGGCUUGAGUCUUGUAGAGGGGGGUAGAAUUCCAGGUGUAGCGGUGAAAUGCGUAGAGAUCUGGAGGAAUACCGGUGGCGAAGGCGGCCCCCUGGACAAAGACUGACGCUCAGGUGCGAAAGCGUGGGGAGCAAACAGGAUUAGAUACCCUGGUAGUCCACGCCGUAAACGAUGUCUACUUGGAGGUUGUGCCCUUGAGGCGUGGCUUCCGGAGCUAACGCGUUAAGUAGACCGCCUGGGGAGUACGGCCGCAAGGUUAAAACUCAAAUGAAUUGACGGGGGCCCGCACAAGCGGUGGAGCAUGUGGUUUAAUUCGAUGCAACGCGAAGAACCUUACCUGGUCUUGACAUCCACAGAACUUUCCAGAGAUGGAUUGGUGCCUUCGGGAACUGUGAGACAGGUGCUGCAUGGCUGUCGUCAGCUCGUGUUGUGAAAUGUUGGGUUAAGUCCCGCAACGAGCGCAACCCUUAUCCUUUGUUGCCAGCGGUCCGGCCGGGAACUCAAAGGAGACUGCCAGUGAUAAACUGGAGGAAGGUGGGGAUGACGUCAAGUCAUCAUGGCCCUUACGACCAGGGCUACACACGUGCUACAAUGGCGCAUACAAAGAGAAGCGACCUCGCGAGAGCAAGCGGACCUCAUAAAGUGCGUCGUAGUCCGGAUUGGAGUCUGCAACUCGACUCCAUGAAGUCGGAAUCGCUAGUAAUCGUGGAUCAGAAUGCCACGGUGAAUACGUUCCCGGGCCUUGUACACACCGCCCGUCACACCAUGGGAGUGGGUUGCAAAAGAAGUAGGUAGCUUAACCUUCGGGAGGGCGCUUACCACUUUGUGAUUCAUGACUGGGGUGAAGUCGUAACAAGGUAACCGUAGGGGAACCUGCGGUUGGAUCACCUCCUUA
rnacentral:rRNA from 1 species